rnacentral:lncRNA from 1 species
GCUAGUGGAGGCUGUUGUAUGAUGUAUAUUUCAGCAGAUGAACAGAAGCAGUAAGGCUGCCACCUUAUACAUGCAUAUGCUGAGCAUAAGCAAUAGUUGAAUACAAAUGAAUCUUCUGUGAAUAUGAAAAGGAAAAGAAGGCUGUCUUCAAGAGAUGAAGUGUUUUCAGAAAAGAGAAGAUGAGCUACAGAGACAGCAGAAGGAAACACUUUCUCUGCAACAGAAAACAGAUGAUCUUCUUACUGAGCUCUAGCCUCUAGAAAUCAGAGUCACCAGCUCCAGACUGAACUGCGUAAAAUGAAAACUGAGAUAAAAAAUGAAGAGCUGAAGAGCUACAGAAUGAACU